rnacentral:rRNA from 1 species
UACGUAGGCAGCGAGCGUUGUUCGGAAUUACUGGGCGUAAAGAGUGUGUAGGCGGUGCUCCCAGUCUGUUGUGAAAUCUCCCGGCUUAACUGGGAGGGUGCAGCGGAAACUAGAGUGCUAGAGGGUGGGAGAGGUAAGCGGAAUUCCUGGUGUAGCGGUGAAAUGCGUAGAUAUCAGGAGGAACACUUGUGGUGUAGACAGCUUACUGGACCACUUCUGACGCUGAGACACGAAAGCGUGGGUAGCAAACAGG